GACGAACGCUGGCGGCGUGCUUAACACAUGCAAGUCGAACGGAAAGGCCCUGCUUUCGUGGGGUGCUCGAGUGGCGAACGGGUGAGUAACACGUGAGUAACCUGCCCUUGACUUUGGGAUAACUUCAGGAAACUGGGGCUAAUACCGGAUAGGAGCUCCUGCUGCAUGGUGGGGGUUGGAAAGUUUCGGCGGUUGGGGAUGGACUCGCGGCUUAUCAGCUUGUUGGUGGGGUAGUGGCUUACCAAGGCUUUGACGGGUAGCCGGCCUGUGAGGGUGACCGGCGACAUUGGGACUGAGGUACGGCCCAGACUCCUACGGGAGACAGCAGUGGGGAAUAUUGCACAAUGGGCGGAAGCCUGAUGCAGCAACGCCGCGUGCGGGAUGACGGCCUUCGGGUUGUAAACCGCUUUCGCCUGUGACGAAGCGUGAGUGACGGUAAUGGGUAAAGAAGCACCGGCUAACUACGUG
rnacentral:rRNA from 1 species